rnacentral:rRNA from 1 species
CCUACGGGAGGCAGCAGUGGGGAAUAUUGGACAAUGGGCGAAAGCCUGAUCCAGCCAUGCCGCGUGUGUGAAGAAGGCCUUCGGGUUGUAAAGCACUUUCAGUGGGGAAGAAAGCCUUGGGGCUAAUACCCUCGAGGAAGGACAUCACCCACAGAAGAAGCACCGGCUAACUCCGUGCCAGCAGCCGCGGUAAUACGGAGGGUGCGAGCGUUAAUCGGAUUUACUGGGCGUAAAGCGCGCGUAGGCGGUCUGAUAAGCCGGUUGUGAAAGCCCCGGGCUCAACCUGGGAACGGCAUCCGGUACUGUCAGGCUAGAGUGCAGGAGAGGAAGGUAGAAUUCCCAGUGUAGCGGUGAAAUGCGUAGAGAUCGGGAGGAAUACCAGUGGCGAAGGCGGCUUUCUGGACUGACACUGACGCUGAGGUGCGAAAGCGUGGGUAGCAAACAGGAUUAGAUACCCCUGUAGUC